rnacentral:rRNA from 1 species
GUGGGGAAUAUUGGGCAAUGGGGGAAACCCUGACCCAGCAACGCCGCGUGAAGGAAGAAGGCUUUCGGGUUGUAAACUUCUUUGACCAGGGACGAAAAAAAUGACGGUACCUGGAAAACAAGCCACGGCUAACUACGUGCCAGCAGCCGCGGUAAUACGUAGGUGGCAAGCGUUGUCCGGAUUUACUGGGUGUAAAGGGCGCGUAGGCGGGAUGGCAAGUCAGAUGUGAAAUGCCGGGGCUUAACCUCGGCACUGCAUUUGAAACUGCUGUUCUUGAGUAUCGGAGAGGCAGGCGGAAUUCCUAGUGUAGCGGUGAAAUGCGUAGAUAUUAGGAGGAACACCAGUGGCGAAGGCGGCCUGCUGGACGACAACUGACGCUGAUGCGCGAAAGCGUGGGGAGCAAACAGGAUUAGAAACCCCGGUAGUCC